rnacentral:rRNA from 1 species
GACGAACGCUGGCGGCGUGCCUAAUACAUGCAAGUCGAGCGGACUUUAACCUUCGGGUUAAAGUUAGCGGCGGACGGGUGAGUAACACGUAGGCAACCUGCCUGUAAGAUCGGGAUAACUAUCGGAAACGAUAGCUAAGACCGGAUAAUUGAUCUUUCCGCAUGGAGGGAUCAUGAAACACGGAGCAAUCUGUGGCUUACAGAUGGGCCUGCGGCGCAUUAGCUAGAGGUGAGGUAACGGCUCACCUAGCGACGAUGCGUAGCCGACCUGAGAGGGUGAACGGCCACACUGGGACUGAGACACGGCCCAGACUCCUACGGGAGGCAGCAGUAGGGAAUAUUGGACAAUGGGCGAAAGCCUGAUCCAGCCAUGCCGCGUGAGUGAAGAAGGCCUUAGGGUUGUAAAGCUCUUUCGUUGGGGAAGAUAAUGACGGUACCCUCUAAGGAAGCCACGGCUAAUUACGUGCCAG